ensembl:lncRNA
AUGAACUUCUCCUGCCUCUUCAAAACAGGUAUUCUUGAGUCAGAGUUUCCAUCUGAAUGGAGUAAGCACAGAAGAUCUCGGUCUACUUUUUUGCUGGUCAUAGCAAUAUCAUCUUGCAGACUAAUUGCCUCUGGUUUAAACAACUUACAUGAAGUUUCAGUUCAUGCAAAUACAAAAGAUGUUUCAGAAUUAAUGUGGCUUGUAAAAGAGACUGUUGCUGACCAAAUGAACUGCAUAUACCAGGGGUAUAUAACAUAUGCUAUAGAAAAUACUGGAAAGAUCAUCAAAGGAUCCCAAAGAAUUCAAACAAGAAGCCCAGUAUCUGGUUAUACUACUAAUGUCCUUUUUCAGGUGCAGUCCCACAAUGCAUUUUGCUUCAUGUCUCCUUAAUCGCCUCCAAUCCGGAAGAGAUUUGUCUUCCAUAAUUUUGACACGUUUAAACGAUACUGUCCAGUUAUUCUGUAGAUGUCUCUAAAUUUGAGUUUGGUUUUUAUUGUGAAUAAAUUCCGAUUGUGCAGAUACCACACGUAUAACAUCAUGUUCUUCUCAGUGCACAAUAUCAAGCAAGGUAUCAUAUUAAUAUUUCCGCAGUAAAUUUAACAUCGAUCAUUUGGUUAAGGUGGAAUCUGACAAGUUUCUCCAGUAUGAUUUUUUCCUUUGUAAUUAAUGCAUAUUUUCUUGGGAGAUUAUUUGAAACUAUGCAAUUAACCUAUUUUUAAUCAUACUUCUAUUCAUUAAGCUUAGCAUCUACUGAUAAUUCUUGCCUACAGCAAAUAAUAGGGUAAUGUUCACAAAGUGUUGAUUUUAUAUUUUCAUCAUUUCUUUUUCAUUUUUGAUCAGAAUUCUACUGCAGGGAAGAACAAUUCUUUCACUCCCAUUUAUUUAUUCAUUCAAUUAUUUAUAUAUAUCAGCACAGACUUAUGAAUAUUUAUUUUUUCCAUGGUUACAAUCUAUUACUAUUUUUGUUGCUCAAUUAUUUUUCAGAUUUGGCCAUUGGAAGCUUCUUCAAACUAGCUCCACAUAAUUUUGACAUGCCCCUAUCAUGUAUUGAGCAUU